AACGCACAUUGCACCCUCUGGUAUUCCGGGGGGUAUGCCUGUUCGAGCGUCAUUACAACCCUCAAGCCCAGCUUGGUAUUGGGUGUCACCAGUUUGGUGCUCCUUAAAACUAGUGGCGGUGCCAAUUUGGCCUCAAGUGCAGUAACAGCUCUCGCUUUGGAGGCUAGAUUUAGUGCUUGCCAGCAAUCACUAAGUUUUCAAAGGUUGACCUCGGAUCAGGUAGGGAUACCCGCUGAACUUAA
rnacentral:misc_RNA from 1 species